UACGUAGGGUGCAAGCGUUAAUCGGAAUUACUGGGCGUAAAGCGUGCGCAGGCGGUUCUAUAAGACAGAUGGGAAAUCCCCGGGCUCAACCUGGGAACUGCAUUUGUGACUGUAGAGCUGGAGUGCGGCAGAGGGGGAUGGAAUUCCGCGUGUAGCAGUGAAAUGCGUAGAUAUGCGGAGGAACACCGAUGGCGAAGGCAAUCCCCUGGGCCUGCACUGACGCUCAUGCACGAAAGCGUGGGGAGCAAACAGG
rnacentral:rRNA from 1 species